UACGUAGGGUGCGAGCGUUAAUCGGAAUUACUGGGCGUAAAGCGUGCGCAGGCGGUUCGUGAUGUCUGAUGUGAAAGCCCCGGGCUCAACCUGGGAACUGCAUUGGAAACUAGCGGGCUGGAGUGUGGCAGAGGGGGUGGAAUUCCACGUGUAGCAGUGAAAUGCGUAGAGAUGUGGAGGAACACCGAUGGCGAAGGCAGCCCCUGGGCUAACACUGACGCUCAUGCACGAAAGCGUGGGGAGCAAACAGG
rnacentral:rRNA from 1 species